rnacentral:lncRNA from 1 species
AACAAUAUGAAAAAAGUCGAUAUUUAUGAGCCCUAUGUAAAUUUUCGAUGCCAAAAGCUUCAUGCGAGCAUUAGGAAAAUGGCGCAAUCUGAUUGGUCGAGAGAUUCGCCCAGAUUCGCCUAAUUAGCUGUCCAACCUCCUCUGAGACCGUGGGCAAAAAACUUUUACAUUUUAUAUAACUCGUCUAUGAGUCUACCAUUUCUUUAUUUAGUUUAGCGUAGUACAAUAAAGUGUUUAUAUGAUGGUAGCCUGCGAACAGGCUCUUUGAAUUAGAGAGUUCAAAGAGAGCCUGUUCGCAGGCUAAUAUGAUGGUGCAAGGCUGUGUGGACUCGGAGUUAAUGGAGUGGGACUUCACCGGAAAGGACGUCACUUAGCUUUUGUGUACGUGACUGGAGACCUUACGAUGUAGGAAGGCAACGCAACGACGAGGGCCAGAAUAAAAUCAUUCAAAUAAACGAUUGUAAAGAAUGUUUGUAGACUAUUAUUGAUCGUAUCAAUUUAAUACUGUUGAUUUAUAGCUUGAAAAUAGUGGCUUUAUUGUUGAGAAAAGUUCUACUGAACGGUACUGAGCUAAUUUGCCGAGUAUCACUUUUCGCAUCUUCUUCCAUCCAAGACCGGUAAGACGUAAAAGUCUGUAGUCUCCCGUUGUAAACAGAUCGUGGACGACGUCUCAAACUCCCGUGGGAUAUUAAUUUUUCAUUUUUUCUUCUUGAAUAUUAUGAAUCUCAUUAUGAAUCUCAUUUAUAGUUAAUUAACCGUGUUUCUGGCCGGUAUUACCGCCCAAUUCACUCCGACAAAUAAAUAAUUGAAAUGUUUGGUUACCUUGGAUCAUUCGUAUAUGCUAACUAGGGCGCUUUCCAUUUAAUGGCCAGACCGGUCAGACCCAAAUUUUUUUCUCUGUAUCAAUGGAAAGAUCUGAUGUAUGUUUCUCAAAUAUCUAGCGAAAAUGGACCUCAUUCAAAUGUUAUCUAAAUUUUCCGGUCAGAUAGGUCCGAAGCCCAAAUGUUUUGUGUUCCAUUCAACAAUUUGACCGUUCUGACCGGUCUAGGCGUGGAUGAUGGAUCUUUGUUAUCCCUAAAAUAUUUUAAAAUUGGAUGGCAGCGAGCAUGAACAUGCGUUAUUUCAUUAUGUCUAUUCUUUUUAACAAAAAUUGAAGCUAACUGGACUAAUACGUUGGACACUAUUUACAGCAAAUAAAGUACGUGCACUUCCUCUCGACAACAGUUUGACGACUAUCAACCUUGAUCACCAAGCUAAACGUGGACAAUUUCGUUUGGCAAUGGUCUUCUGAUAGCAUUAUAAAGUCUUUCCCAAAAUCUGUCUCUGUUCUUCUCAUCCGUCCAGUCCAGAUACACAAUGCCCGCAAUCUCUGCAGGCGCUUUACAUUUCUCGUACAAUAUGACCAAAACUUGAUGACCGGUCUUUCCUGCCGCUAACGCGUGAUACAACUCCUUGCGAGCGUACAAACUUUUCAAGGAGUCUUUUGAUAAU